GUGGGGAAUCUUAGACAAUGGGCGCAAGCCUGAUCUAGCCAUGCCGCGUGAGCGAUGAAGGCCUUAGGGUUGUAAAGCUCUUUCGUGGGGGAAGAUAAUGACUGUACCCCAAGAAGAAGCCCCGGCUAACUCCGUGCCAGCAGCCGCGGUAAUACGGAGGGGGCUAGCGUUGUUCGGAAUUACUGGGCGUAAAGCGCACGUAGGCGGACUGGAAAGUCAGGGGUGAAAUCCCGGGGCUCAACCCCGGAACUGCCUUUGAAACUCCCAGUCUUGAGUUCGAGAGAGGUGAGUGGAAUUCCGAGUGUAGAGGUGAAAUUCGUAGAUAUUCGGAGGAACACCAGUGGCGAAGGCGGCUCACUGGCUCGAUACUGACGCUGAGGUGCGAAAGCGUGGGGAGCAAACAGGAUUAGAAACCCUAGUAGUCC
rnacentral:rRNA from 1 species